AUUGAACGCUGGCGGCAGGCCUAACACAUGCAAGUCGAACGAGUGGCGGACGGGUGAGUAAUGUCUGGGAAACUGCCUGCUGGAGGGGGUUAACUACUGGAAACGGUAGCUAAUACCGCAUACCAUCGGAUGUGCCCAGAUGGGAUUAGCUAGUAGGUGGGGUAACGGCUCACCUAGGCGACGAUCCCUAGAUGGUCUGAGAGGAUGACCAGCGACACUGGAACUGGUACACGGUCCAGACGCCGCCGGGAGGGAGCAGUGGGGAAUAUUGCACAAUGGGCGCAAACCUGAUGCAGCCAUGCCGCGUGUAUGAAGAAGGCCUUCGGGUUGUAAAGUACUUUCAGCGGGGAGGCGUUACCCGCAGAAGAAGCACCGGCUAACUCCGUGCCAGCAGCCGCGGUAAUUC
rnacentral:rRNA from 1 species